AGUGAACGCUGGCGGUAGGCCUAACACAUGCAAGUCGAACGGCAGCACAGUAAGAGCUUGCUCUUACGGGUGGCGAGUGGCGGACGGGUGAGGAAUACAUCGGAAUCUACUUUUUCGUGGGGGAUAACGUAGGGAAACUUACGCUAAUACCGCAUACGACCUACGGGUGAAAGCAGGGGAUCUUCGGACCUUGCGCGAUUGAAUGAGCCGAUGUCGGAUUAGCUAGUUGGCGGGGUAAAGGCCCACCAAGGCGACGAUCCGUAGCUGGUCUGAGAGGAUGAUCAGCCAAACUGGAACUGAGACACGGUACAGACUACUACGGGAGGCAGCAGUGGGGAAUAUUGGACAAUGGGCGCAAGCAUGAUACAGCCAUACCGCGUGGGUGAAGAAGGACUUCGGGUUGUAAAGCCCUUUUGUUGGGAAAGAAAAGCAGCAGGUUAAUACCCCGCUGUUCUGACGGUACCCAAAGAAUAAGCACCGGCUAACUUCGUG
rnacentral:rRNA from 1 species